rnacentral:rRNA from 1 species
UAAUACAGAGGCCACAAGCGUUAAUCGGAAUCACUGGGCUUAAAGGGUGCGUAGGCGGACCGGAAAGCGUCCUGUGAAAUCCCCCGGCUCAACCGGGGAACUGCAGGGCGAACUGCCGGUCUCGAGGCAUGUAGGGGCGGGUGGAACAGUAGGUGGAGCGGUGAAAUGCUUAGAUAUCUACUGGAACGCCGAUGGGGAAGCCGACCCGCUGGGCAUGUCCUGACGCUGAGGCACGAAAGCGUGGGGAGCAAACAGGAUUAGAUACCCUGGUAGUCCACGCCGUAAACGAUGCGCACUAGACCGGUGCGGCUCUGACGCCGUAUCGGUCGUAGUAAAAACGAUAAGUGCGCCGCCUGGGAAGUACGGUCGCAAGGCUA